rnacentral:rRNA from 1 species
UACGUAGGGUGCAAGCGUUAAUCGGAAUUAUUGGGCGUAAAGGGUGCGUAGGCGGUUUGGUAAGUCUUGUGUGAAAUCUCUGGGCUCAACUCAGAGUCUGCACGAGAAACUGCCGGGCUUGAGUGUGGGAGAGGUGAGUGGAAUUCCUGGUGUAGCGGUGAAAUGCGUAGAUAUCAGGAGGAACACCUGUGGCGAAAGCGGCUCACUGGACCAUAACUGACGCUGAUGCACGAAAGCUAGGGGAGCAAACAGG